GACGAACGCUGGCGGCGUGCUUAACACAUGCAAGUCGAGCGGUAAGGCCCUUUCGGGGGUACGACGAGCGGCGAACGGGUGAGUAACACGUGGGUGACCUGCCCUCAGCUCUGGGAGUAAGCCUGGGAAACCGGGUCUAAUACUGGAUAUGACUCCAUGACGCAUGUUGUGGGGUGGAAAGCCUUGUGCGGCUGAGGAUGGGCCCGCGGCCUAUCAGCUUGUUGGUGGGGUGAUGGCCUACCAAGGCGACGACGGGUAGCCGGCCUGAGAGGGCGACCGGCCACACUGGGACUGAGACACGGCCCAGACUCCUACGGGAGGCAGCAGUGGGGAAUCUUGCGCAAUGGGCGAAAGCCUGACGCAGCGACGCCGCGUGAGGGAUGACGGCCUGG
rnacentral:rRNA from 1 species